UACGUAGGGGGCUAGCGUUGUCCGGAAUUAUUGGGCGUAAAGAGCUCGUAGGCGGUUUGUCGCGUCUGCUGUGAAAACCUAAGGCUCAACCUUGGGCUUGCAGUGGGUACGGGCAGACUAGAGUGCGGUAGGGGUGACUGGAAUUCCUGGUGUAGCGGUGGAAUGCGCAGAUAUCAGGAGGAACACCGAUGGCGAAGGCAGGUCACUGGGCCGCAACUGACGCUGGAGGAGCGGAAAGCAUGGGAGCGAACAGG
rnacentral:rRNA from 1 species